rnacentral:lncRNA from 1 species
CUUUGCACUUAGACUGUGCUGUUCUCCAGGCUGGGCAGGGGUUGGGGGAAUUCUGGGGCUGUGCAGAUUCCUUCUUGAUUCUUAUUUUUGCAUUUCCUCAUUAGAAGGUUUGGCUGAAGUUUUUUGGGGCCCGGGCUCCAGGUGAGUUCCUCUCCCACUUUCUCUCAGCCCUGGAUCCCCUGAUCAAUAUCUCUCAUCCCAAGAUGCCACUAACUGGGAGAGUGGGGAUAAAGAGGUGCCAUUUGUACAAUUCAUGCCUUCUCUCUGGGCUUCAGUUUCCCCACUGGUAAUGUGAAGGGGGGGUUGGAAUUGAAGACUUUGAAGAUCUAUUCUAGCUCAGAUGUCCUUGGAUUCUCACAUCAAGUAUAUGUGUGUGAUUGUGUGUGCACUUGUGGGCAGUUAGGUGUGUGUGAUUCUGUGAGUGACGGUGUGUGAUUGCAUGUGGGGGAUGGUGAGUAUGCAGCAUAAUAGGGUGCGUGAGUAUGUGCAUAUGGAUUAUGUGUGCAUGACUGUAUAUGUGUGUGAUUAUAUACGUGUCUGGAGAAGGGUGGUUGUGAAUGUGUAUAUGUUUGGGGAUGAGUGUGAGUAUGUGUAUAAUUGUGUGUGUGUGUAUAUAGGUUGUGAUAGUGGAUUUGUGUGCAGUUUGGGCUGUCUGAGUAGUUAUCGUGAGAGAUUGUGUGUGUGUGUGUGUUUAUGCAUGGGUGAUCUGGAGCGACUAUGUGUGUGUCAUUGUGUGUGGUGGAGGGCCGUGAAGCCUCUUUCCAGCCUGGUGGACCAGGACCUGGGCUGGGCACGACCGCUCCUCCUUGACCCACGCAGAUGGGUGCGGCCAGGACAGGCUGAGGUGGGGACCCCAUAGCUGCCCGUGAUGCCAGCAGGGCAGCAGAGCACAUCCCUCCAGUAAUCAGCUCCAGACGCUGCUGCGUCGCCUCCUUCUGACGGGAGGACGCUGGCAAGGCGUUCUGGCCCCAGCCAGGUCUCUUUGGGGGAAAAAAAUGGAGGGGGAGGAAAAAUCCCCCAAAGGCAGAUCUUUAUUGAAGCAUUUCGUGACACGCACACCAACUAAUUGAUUUCCUUAUUAGUAGCAGAGCUUUCUCCCGGCCUUUUCUCCUGCCUGAACUUAGAAAAGUGAAGAGUGGAGAGCCAGCUCAGUACAGACGCUGGGCCAAGUUUCUCCUCGGAUCCUCCCCUGGCCCCAGAGUCAGGGCGGAUAUGUUUGCUUUUCCAGGUCCAACUAUAGGUAGAGGGGUGUGACCACCCAUGGGAUCAGGUUUCAGAAGCCCCCACUAUUAUCGAGUCAUUCCAUUUACUUCGGGCUGUUCCUCAGGUCAAAAUGCACAUGUCGUGGGCAGGCGUUCUGAGUGCCUUAGUCGUUCACACACAGUUCCUGCUGCAGAACUCUUGGAACCUCAGUUUGCUCAUCUGUACAAGGGGCCGCUCCUGUUACUGACGUUACAGAGCGCUCGUGGGAAUUAAUUCAGGUCAGGUGUGUGAGUCCCGAAGCCUUUGUAAAAGUAAGUUGCUCCUGUUACGACGACGAUGACGCUUUCUUAUGAAGCACAUGUGUCAAUGGCGCAGUUUAAGGCCCGGGAGUUCGCAAGGCACAGAUGGGCCUCGUAUUUAGCAGAGAAGGCAGCCAGGUCCAGGUGAGGCCUCUCAGCAGAGCUUUUUCCCCCUCCCACCAGAAAGCCACAGCUGCCCCUCUGUCUGCGCCUGUGGCAGGUGGUGCCUCACUUCAUCUAAGG